GCAAAGGACAGGCACAAGAAGAAUCUUCUGGAAGUUCAGACCUAUAUCAGCAUCCUGCAGCAGAUCAUCCACACCACUCCUCCAGCAUCCAUUGUGACGAGUGGGAUGAGGGAGGAGAAGCUCCUGACGGAGCGGGAGGUGGCCGCCCUGCGGAGUCAGCUGGAGGAGGGCCGGGAGGUGCUCUCCCACCUGCAGGCGCAGAGAGUGGAGCUGCAGGCACAGGUAUUUGUUGAAUAUCAAAAUAAGAAAUUUCACAACAGAUUAACCUGGUUUCUGAGAACAUGAAAUGAAACCGCUGGUUGGCCGCCUGUUUCUGUCCUGAGUGGCUGCAGGAGGACUUCCUGGCUUUUCCCUGCUGCCCUCGUCUCUAAAGCAGGGUCUCAAACAUCUCUUCUGUGCUGCCUCCUCCACUCCCACCCGUGGCAUUCUGAUGGAGACCGCUUCUCAGAAAAAUGAUGGUAAAGGCAUAAAAUAAAAUACAGAUAAUUUAAAGGAAA
rnacentral:lncRNA from 1 species